UACGGAGGGGGCUAGCGUUGUUCGGAGUUACUGGGCGUAAAGGGCGCGUAGGCGGCGGGGUAAGUCGGGUGUGAAAUCUCAGGGCUCAACCCUGAAACUGCACUUGAUACUGCUCUGCUUGAGGACUGGAGAGGAGACUGGAAUUCACGGUGUAGCAGUGAAAUGCGUAGAUAUCGGAAGGAACGCCGGUGGCGAAAGCGACGUGCUGGACCUUUUCUGACGCUGAGGCGCGAAAGCCAGGGGAGCAAACGGG
rnacentral:rRNA from 1 species